GCCUGUGGCUCAGUGGGUAAAGUGUUGGCCACACAUACCAAGGGUGGCGGGUUCGAACCCCGCCCCAGGCA
rnacentral:tRNA from 1 species